GAUGAACGCUAGCGGCAGGCUUAACACAUGCAAGUCGAGGGGUAUAGUUCUUCGGAACUAGAGACCGGCGCACGGGUGCGUAACGCGUAUGUAACCUACCUUAUACUGGGGAAUAACUUCGAGAAAUCGGCGCUAAUACCCCAUAACACUGCGGAGAGGCAUCUCUUUGCAGUUAAGGCUCCGGCGGUAUAAGAUGGGCAUGCGUCCAAUUAGCUAGUUGGUGAGGUAACGGCUCACCAAGGCUACGAUUGGUAGGGGUUCUGAGAGGAUGAUCAGCCACACUGGGACUGAGACACGGCCCAGACUCCUACGGGAGGCAGCAGUGGGGAAUAUUGGACAAUGGGCGAAAGCCUGAUCCAGCAAUGCCGCGUGAGUGAUGAAGGCCUUAGGGUUGUAAAGCUCUUUUACCAGGGGUGAUAAUGACAGUACCUGGAGAAUAAGCUCCGGCUAACUCCGUGCCAGCCGCCGCCGUAA
rnacentral:rRNA from 1 species